UACGUAGGAGGCGAGCGUUGUUCGGAAUUACUGGGCGUAAAGGGCUCGUAGGCGGCCAACUAAGUCAGACGUGAAAUCCCUCGGCUUAACCGGGGAACUGCGUCUGAUACUGGAUGGCUAGAGGUUGGGAGAGGGAUGCGGAAUUCCAGGUGUAGCGGUGGAAUGCGCAGAUAUCAGGAGGAACACCGGUGGCGAAGGCGGGAUCCUGGGCCAGUACUGACGCUGAGGAGCGAAAGCGUGGGGAGCAAACAGG
rnacentral:rRNA from 1 species